rnacentral:rRNA from 1 species
UACGUAGGGGGCAAGCGUUGUCCGGAUUUAUUGGGCGUAAAGAGCGUGUAGGCGGCCAUACAGGUCCGUUGUGAAAACUGGAGGCUUAACCUCUAGACGUCGAUGGAAACCGUAUGGCUAGAGUCCGGAAGAGGAGAGUGGAAUUCCUGGUGUAGCGGUGAAAUGCGCAGAUAUCAGGAAGAACACCCGUGGCGAAGGCGGCUCUCUGGGACGGUACUGACGCUGAGACGCGAAAGCGUGGGGAGCGAACAGG